GAUGAACGCUGGCGGCGUGCCUAAUACAUGCAAGUCGAGCGAACAGACGAGGAGCUUGCUCCUCUGACGUUAGCGGCGGACGGGUGAGUAACACGUGGAUAACCUACCUAUAAGACUGGGAUAAUUUCGGGAAACCGGAGCUAAUACCGGAUAAUAUAUUGAACCGCAUGGUUCAAUAGUGAAAGACGGUUUUGCUGUCACUUCUAGAUGGAUCCGCGCCGCAUUAGCUAGUUGGUAAGGUAACGGCUUACCAAGGCAACGAUGCGUAGCCGACCUGAGAGGGUGAUCGGCCACACUGGAACUGAGACACGGUCCAGACUCCUACGGGAGGCAGCAGUAGGGAAUCUUCCGCAAUGGGCGAAAGCCCGACGGAGCAACGCCGCGUGAGUGAUGAAGGUCUUCGGAUCGUAAAACUCUGUUAUUAGUGAAGAACAAAUGUGUAAGUAACUAUGCACGUCUUGACGGUACCUAAUCAGAAAGCCACGGCUAACUACGUG
rnacentral:rRNA from 1 species